ensembl:lncRNA
CUAGUUCAUUAUUUUUUUUUAAUGAAAUGAUUUGUGGUAGAAGACUGCUGUUUGGUUUCAAUAUUAAUAUAUAAGAUGAACUACGUGGGUGUCAUUUAUUUUCAGUAGUAAAUAAGUGCUUAACCGAUUCUUUGCCUUUAGCAGAAUUUAAUUGACUCCUUUAGAAUUUGGCUGUGCAGGUUCAAACAGUAUUUGAUGUGUGUGGAUGUAAAAUAAAAAUUACCUCUUGUGUCAUUAAAAGCUCUUUUCAUGGUGUCCUGUGGUCAGAAUCGGGGAAUGUUGUGUAGUCGGUUUCAAAAUCCAAUCAGUAGGUUAAUCAUUAAUUAUUCUUUUUUCCAGGAAAUUCUGCUUAGUUUAUUUCAGAAUUUGAAUUUGCUAGAAUUCUUGUUUUUAAUCUUUUAUGUGUGUGUCACUUUAACCUUAAAAAGGGGUUAAUGUAGCCAGAUUAGGUACCUUUCUGUUUGUAUUGUGGCUUCUUCAAUUUCUCAUAAACUAUUUGGUAGCUAAAAUGUUGAAAGCAGUUUGGGAACAAAAUGUCUGCUUCAACCAUGACAAAAUUGGCCACAAUUUGCCGAUUGGGCUGAUAACAAAAGCCAGCAACACAAAAUAGGUAGAAAAACAGUUUGUUCGGUGAUGUGAGACCACUGCAGGACUUUUUGCAUGUUAUUUUUUUCAUUCUGCUGUUUAUGUUGUGCCGGCAGAACGUGGAGAGAGAUUUUUGCUCACCCAUGAUUUUGAUUAACCAUUUCAUCCAGAGGAUUUCUUUGAAAACUUCAGAAAACAAGCUGCUUACCUGGCAUCUGAGACCCAUUUGAGUUAAAAUCCAGCUUUGCAUCUCAACCCCAGGUUUCAUCCCAGCUCAACUGCUUGGAAAGUAUCUCAAGGCUCAGAAUUGGAUGUUUUCAAGAAACUCUUCAAUUCCCCUUUUUUCAAGACUUCAAUAUGGAAAUAUAUGGCUGGGACUGCAUUUCUGCAAGUGUAAAACAAAAUCAUGAAAGUUUGCAGCUUUAAAAAAAUAGUUCUGUACCUGAGCCUACAGUGGACCAAAGUUUUAACGACUCAAAGUACCCAUUGCCUCUCGUGUGGCUGUUACAGACUGUAAACAAAUAUUAAUGUUUGACAUGAGACAAUACAUUUUUUCAAGUGAUAGGAUGAGAUAACAGGACCGUCUCUCUCCUCUCUGUUGUUUUGAAUUCUCAUGACUUGAGUGUGUGUCUGAUGCUGUUUCUUUUUUCUUUCUUUUUUUUUGUCUGAAAAAUCAGAUACUCCAGGGCAAUAAUUAGGAUGAGGUUUAUGUUUCUACUUAUCUAAUCUUUGUUUUCACAAAUAAAUACAAAUAACUCAAACUGAAACUUGAUGGCUUUGGUGAUAAUAAAAUAGCAGCCACGGGGAAAUUUUCUUCAUUUUAAUGUUCUUUCACAACCCACAUUCAGUUUCGGUAGGAAAAUUAUUAACCUUUUCAAGAGCAUGCUAAAACAUGGUUCACAAUAGACGCCUGAGUAUGAUUUGCAGGUUUUGGUUCUAUUUUGAGAUUUUGGGGUGUGCAGAGUUUUUUUUUUUCUUUUUCUUUUUCUUUCUUUCUUUCUUUCUUUUUUAAAUGGCUUUCUUUGACAGCGAUAGUCAUGACUUGGAGUCAUUUCGUUGGUGUAUUUCCAGUGUGGGCACAUUGAGAGCGUUUGUAUUUUUUUUUUUUUUUAUGAUGAGGAGGGAAGAUUCCUGUUUCCUAUCCUCUUACUAUUUUGUGCUAUGAAAGAGGAAAUGUUCUUGAGUCUCAUUGUUUUUCCUCAUUUGAAUUCUUGGGUGGAUAUUGUGAGUUCCUGGCCCCCAUUUGAAAAAAAAAAAUCCAUUUGAGCCAUAUUCAGGGAGGGCAGAUGGCCCGGGUUUAGGGGUCCUACACGACUCCUGUCUGCCUUGGGUGGCCUCAUGUCCAUGCCCUUCAAACCAAAACAAGGCUGGCCAGUUUGGGUUUGUGGUCCUGAAGGGGUGCCCAGCCACCGGCUUGGGUGGAAGGCCUGGGAUGGUGGGGUCUGCCUAGCUGACUGCUAUUAGCUUUGGAAGGCACGUGGGGUACGGUGAGCAUGAUCUGGUCUUGACCUGAAACACAAGAAGGGCAGAAUGUGGGACAGCAGGGGUGGACACGGGGGAUGCUCUCGGAGAGCAGUUUCCGUUUUAGGCGUCUUCUUCUCCACGUCUGGCUGGGACCGCCAGCCCCGCCUGGAGGGCCCUGGAUGGGGCGCCAUCCUCCCUCUGUGUGUGGCAAGGCUGUGCCUCGGGCCUCACGGUCCCUUUCUCUCCUGCAGCCCCCCUCUUUGUAAGUCCCCACCUUGGCCCAGUGCCCUUCCCUACCUGUUCCCACCACCCCUGCAAAGUGGGAAUGGGGGCUGCAGGGCCUUCCCUUGGUUUGUAUCCAAGGCUGCCCCUUUCGGCGUUGUAGCCUGGGGCUGUGUUUUUCUUCUUCUUCUUCUCAUACUUCCUGUAUGAGGUUAGUUUUUUUAAAAUGAUAAACAAACUAUUUUUUUAAACCUUUUUUUUUGACCUGGUCAUGUGUUGCCAGCUACCUAUCCGGCUGUGAGCCUUCAGCCGUCAGCCCCCUACCUGUGCACCACCGGGCGUGAGCGGGGUUCCAAAGCAGAGGGGGUCUGUGCUCCCCUCUCCUCAGAGUGGCAGUCAGAAUGUGGCGGAACAUCACGAUCAGGAUGCUGGACUGGAGGCUGAGUGCUAUCAGGUACCAGCUGGUGGCUGAACUUCCCCUGCCUCCCAGAAUAACUGGGAGAUGAAACAGGAAACUUUAUGACACACUUGCUUGAAAAUGACACAGGACUCAGCCCCUCUGCAACACCUCUACCUGCUGCCCACAGCCGAGUGCGGGGGAAGGGCUGGCCCUGGGACCUGAUUCCAGCCGCCGUGGACUCGCCGUCCAGUGCGAUGUGUCUGCCAUAUUGCGGUCACGGUCUAGUCUGGUCGGUUUCCUAUGUAGCUGGCCACUCUUGGUGUAUCUUUGCCCCUUUUCCUUCAUUAAAAGCAUAACUGACGAAAAAUGGAUUGUUUGCUUAAUGUUGCUGUUCAUCCUCUAAGUUGUGUCUGACCCUUUGAGACGCCAUAGACUGUAGCACUCCAGGCUCCUCUGUCCUCCACGAUCUCAAUAGCUCUGUUUAAAUCUCAAUGUGAAGGAGACCAAAUAACGUUUGAGAGUCAUUUCUCUAGGACCACAGGGAAACCAUGUCAUAACCGCACAGCUCAUUAUGACAGCUUCUAGAAGAAGUGUGUUGAACUUGAAUCACUUAUUACUCAGACUGGUCUGCUCUGC